rnacentral:rRNA from 1 species
AUUGAACGCUGGCGGCAGGCCUAACACAUGCAAGUCGAGCGAGUGGCGGACGGGUGAGUAAUGUCUGGGAAACUGCCUGAUGGAGGGUGAUCACUUCUGGAAACGGUAGCUCAUACCGCAUACCAUCGGAUGUGCCCAGAUGGGAUUAGAUAGUAGGUGGGGUAAAGGCUCACCUAGGCCACGAUCCCUAGCUGGUCUGAGAGGAUGACCAGCCACACGGGAACUGAGACACGGUCCAGACUCCUACGGGAGGCAGCAGUGGGGAAUAUUGGACAAUGGGCGCAAGCCUGAUGCAGCCAUGCCGCGUGUAGGAAUAAGGCCUUCGGGUUGUAAAGUACUUUCAGCGGGGAGUCGUUACCCGCAGAAGAAGCACCGGCUAACUCCGUGCCAGCAGCCGCGGUAAUUC